AGCCGGGUAGGGUAGGGGACAAUCCUGUGGGGCUUUGGACCCCGCGACCCCGGUUCGAAGCCGGGCCCGGCUA
rnacentral:tRNA from 3 species